rnacentral:rRNA from 1 species
GAGUGGCGGACGGGUGAGUAACACGUAGGUAACCUGCCCCGGAGCGGGGGAUAACAUUUGGAAACAGAUGCUAAUACCGCAUAACAACAAAAGCCACAUGGCUUUUGUUUGAAAGAUGGCUUUGGCUAUCACUCUGGGAUGGACCUGCGGUGCAUUAGCUAGUUGGUAAGGUAACGGCUUACCAAGGCGAUGAUGCAUAGCCGAGUUGAGAGACUGAUCGGCCACAAUGGAACUGAGACACGGUCCAUACUCCUACGGGAGGCAGCAGUAGGGAAUCUUCCACAAUGGGCGCAAGCCUGAUGGAGCAACACCGCGUGAGUGAAGAAGGGUUUCGGCUCGUAAAGCUUUUGUUGUUGGAGAAGAACGUGCGUGAGAGUAACUGUUCAUGCAGUGACGGUAUCCAACCAGAAAGUCACGGCUAAUUACGUGCCAGCAGCCGCGGUAAUACGUAGGUGGCAAGCGUUAUCCGGAUUUAUUGGGCGUAAAGCGAGCGCAGGCGGUUGCUUAGGUCUGAUGUGAAAGCCUUCGGCUUAACCGAAGAAGUGCAUCGGAAACCGGGCGACUUGAGUGCAGAAGAGGACAGUGGAACUCCAUGUGUAGCGGUGGAAUGCGUAGAUAUAUGGAAGAACACCAGUGGCGAAGGCGGCUGUCUGGUCUGCAACUGACGCUGAGGCUCGAAAGCAUGGGUAGCGAACAGGAUUAGAUACCCUGGUAGUCCAUGCCGUAAACGAUGAGUGCUAGGUGUUGGAGGGUUUCCGCCCUUCAGUGCCGGAGCUAACGCAUUAAGCACUCCGCCUGGGGAGUACGACCGCAAGGUUGAAACUCAAAGGAAUUGACGGGGGCCCGCACAAGCGGUGGAGCAUGUGGUUUAAUUCGAAGCUACGCGAAAGAACCUUACCAGGUCUUGACUUCUUGCGCUAACCUUAAGAGAUAAGGCGUUUCCUUUCGGGGACGCAAUGACAGGUGGUGCAUGGUCGUCGUCAGCUCGUGUCGUGAGAUGUUGGGUUAAGUCCCGCAACGAGCGCAACCCUUGUUACUAGUUGCCAGCAUUAAGUUGGGCACUCUAGUGAGACUGCCGGUGACAAACCGGAGGAAGGUGGGGACGACGUCAGAUCAUCAUGCCCCUUAUGACCUGGGCUACACACGUGCUACAAUGGACGGUACAACGAGUCGCAAGCUCGCGAGAGUAAGCUAAUCUCUUAAAGCCGUUCUCAGUUCGGACUGUAGGCUGCAACUCGCCUACACGAAGUCGGAAUCGCUAGUAAUCGCGGAUCAGCAUGCCGCGGUGAAUACGUUCCCGGGCCUUGUACACACCGCCCGUCACACCAUGGGAGUUUGUAACGCCCAAAGUCGGUGG